AAAGGACCAGGGCCUGGGGCCCCACUUGGUGCCAGGAGGGGCUUCCUUUUCAGGAGUCCCGCACUGAGCGGCCAAGGUACGGCCCAGCGGAGGCUGACGAGG